ensembl:lncRNA
UUUUUUUUUUUUUUGAGACAAGAUCUCACUCUGUCACCCAGACUGGAGUACAGUGGUGAGAUCACAGCUCACUGCAGCCUUGACUUCCCAAGCUCAAGUGAUCCUCCCAUCUCAGCCUCCCAAGUAGCUGGGACUUCAGGUGCAUGCCACCACGUCCAGCUAAUUGUUUCUAUUUUUUAUAGAGACAGGGUCUCACUAUACUGCCCAGGCUGGUCUUGAACUCCUGGCCUCAAAUGAUUUUCCCACCUCAGCCUCCUAAAGCACUGGAAUUAUAGGCUUGAGCCACUGCGCUCCACCUGGACUUUGCAUUUAACAAGUAAGUUUAUGCCGUCAUGUAGAGAUAUGAUUUUAAAUGUAUUUGAUUCAAUAACAUAUAUACAUAGGUCAAUAUUCCCUGGAUGAUCCCCUAGGUCCCUUUUCCUAGAGGCAACUACUACUACCAACCUGAUAAAUGAUUACGUCAUUCAUGGGAUUCACUCAUGCUUACUGGAUCAGAAUCUUCAGGCUGCAAAUAUUUUCUCCAGCCCUUCCCACAUGUUCAACUAUCACAAAGACUUGUGUAAUGAAUACAAGAUACAAAAUCAGAAGAUUGUUUACCAGUUUUAAUUCAAAUUCUUACCAGGCUAUUCCCCAGCCCUUUCAGGCCCUAGAAAGGCCUAUGCCAUUUGCUGCAGUUGGACAAGUUUCUAGACAAACUAGAAAAUCUGGAUUUCAGGACAAGCUCAACGUCUAGACAGACAACACCCUGGCAGUGGUUUCAGAGAUUAAGAGAUGUACUCCCCUCCGAUAUCACCCACAUGGGCUUUCUAUGACAGGCACAACUCCAUCUCCUUUGCUCUAAGGCAGUGUGGUUUCAUAUGGGGUCAUUCAAAGAACACGGGCUAAACAGCCUGGAUUCAAACCCCAGGUUUACUUCUUGAAAACUGUGUGACCUAGGACAUCUUGCUUAACUUCUCUGAGCUCUUUUCUCUAGUAUAAAAUCGAAGAAUACCUACCUCCUAGUGUUGUUGUGAAGAUUAAAUGUAAUGAUAUACGUGAAUGGCUCUCAACAAGUAGUCAUCUCAUGGUUAAAUGACUUUGGAUUUAUGUAAAAUUCAGAUGACCUCCCCCGGGGGUGUCUUCCAUGACCGACCACACCCGACUCUGUGGCAUCAGCAUCUGCAUGUCCCCGAGGAGUCUCUCUCUUUCUGUCUGGAGUCAGCCCCUCUGCAGUUGAUCUCCAUUGCAACCCUCCUCCUGCUCCUCCAGGAUCUGCUUUCAUCGUUAGUUUUUUCUCUCUUCUAUCUUGAAUCUCUCUUUGUCCAUUGACUCUCUCUUCUCUCACAGGUUUGCUCAAGUCUUUUUUUUUAAGGCAGACUCACUCGGCCACCCAGGCUGGAGUGCAGUGGUGCCAUCAUGGCUCACUGCAACCUCAAACUCCCAGGCUCCAGCAAUCCUCCCACCUCCUGAGUAGCUUGAACCAGAGACAUGCACCAGCAUGUCUGACUAAUUUUUUAUUUUCUGUAGAGAUGGGGGUCUUGCUAUAUUGCCCAGACUGGUCUUGAACUCCUGGGCUCAAACAAUCUGCUCACCUUGGCCUCCCAGAGUACUGGGAUUACAGGCAUG